rnacentral:rRNA from 1 species
GACGAACGCUGGCGGCGUGCUUAACACAUGCAAGUCGAGCGAUGAAGUUCCUUCGGGAACGGAUUAGCGGCGGACGGGUGAGUACACGUGGGUAACCUGCCUCAUAGAGGGGAAUAGCCUUCCGAAAGGAAGAUUAAUACCGCAUAAGAUUGUAGUACCGCAUGGUACAGCAAUUAAAGGAGCAAUCCGCUAUGAGAUGGACCCGCGUCGCAUUAGCUAGUUGGUGAGGUAACGGCUCACCAAGGCGACGAUGCGUAGCCGACCUGAGAGGGUGAUCGGCCACAUUGGGACUGAGACACGGCCCAGACUCCUACGGGAGGCAGCAGUGGGGAAUAUUGCACAAUGGGGGAAACCCUGAUGCAGCAACGCCGCGUGAGUGAUGACGGUCUUCGGAUUGUAAAACUCUGUCUUCAGGGACGAUAAUGACGGUACCUGAGGAGGAAGCCACGGCUAACUACGUGCCAGCAGCCGCGGUAAUAC